rnacentral:rRNA from 1 species
ACUCCUACGGGAGGCAGCAGUGGGGAAUCUUAGACAAUGGGGGCAACCCUGAUCUAGCCAUGCCGCGUGAGUGAAGAAGGCCCUAGGGUCGUAAAGCUCUUUCGCCUGUGAAGAUAAUGACUGUAGCAGGUAAAGAACCCCGGCUAACUUCCGUGCCAGCAGCCGCGGUAAUACGGAGGAAUCCAAGCGUUAUCCGGAAUCAUUGGGUUUAAAGGGUCCGUAGGCGGUUUUAUAAGUCAGUGGUGAAAUCCGGCAGCUCAACUGUCGAACUGCCAUUGAUACUGUAGAACUUGAAUUAUUGUGAAGUAACUAGAAUAUGUAGUGUAGCGGUGAAAUGCUUAGAGAUUACAUGGAAUACCAAUUGCG